GGCACCACCACUCUUGGGCUGAGAAGGCCAAAGGCCUUUUCAAAACUACACCUCCCAUGAUCCCAUCGCAUUGCGCUGAGGGCAGGCACGUGAAGCGUUAAAAGAGAGGCGGCCCCGCGUUGCAUGCCGGGCGUUGUAGUCGCGGCGAUUCCAGCCAAUCAGGGGCGCUUCCUCUUUCUCCCCCUAAUGGCUGCUUCCAGGAAGGCGACUGCAUAGUUUCCCAAGGUCCCAACCCUGAGUAAAGAAGGACUAAAUACCCCACAGAAGGAUUGCCACAGAAUUCCUUAAUGCUGGACUCCGGUGGCGAAGUGUGUUAAAGCGCUGAGCUGCUGAACUUGCAGACCAAAAGGCCCCAGGUUCAAAUCCCAGGAGCGGAGUGAGCACCCACUGUUGCUCCAGCUUCUGCUAACCUAGCAGUUUGAAAACAUGCCAAUGUGAGUAGAUCAAUAGGCACCGCUCCGGCAGGAAGGUAACAGCGCUCCAUGCAGUCAUACCGGCCACAUGACCUUGGAGGUGUCUACGGACAACACCAGCUGUUCGGCUUAGAAAUGGAGAUGAGCACCAACCCCCAGAGUCAGACAUGACUGGACAACGUCAGGGGAAACCUUUACCUUUACUAAUGCUGGACCACUCUAACAACCACCAUGUCAGACAACACAGAGAAGCAAUUGAAAUCCACAAGCGUGUGGACAGUUUCAACAGAAACCAGUUUUCUAGAUACAUUUGAAGUGCUAGUUCUGCGCUCAGCCUUUCGUUCAGCACCCACAAUGAUUGGAAACAUGGAUGCCAAUGGCCAUCUGUCACAUCUCUUCUUCGUGCUUUUCUCUCUGCUGAUCGGUCUGCCUGUUGUGGAAGCCUUGGAUGCGGGCGAUGCACUAGCCCUCCUGUUGGGCAUGGUUCUAAGCUGCAUUGGAUUAUGUGCCUGCCUCGGCAUGUAUGCAAGGAAACGAAAUGGAGAACUAUGACGCUAAGAAAGAGAUGUCUAUGUCAAGGAUAACAUGAGAUUAUAAAGUUUCUGGAUGUUCCUAUUCCUGGAGUAUGGACUAUCCUUGGUGGAAGAUUUUGAAGAAUUGCACUGCAUAGGAAGAGAAUUGUUUCAUAUUUCUUGUGAUUAAGAUAUUGGUUUUAAUAUGGAAAUAGUUUGUUUUUUCUUGAUAGAAGAAAUUAACAAUAAGAUUUUUCAUAGAGAUUGAGAUGCAAUGGGGUUUUUAAAAAUUCAGGGCAGGAGAAGUGGUCUGGGUGGAGGAUACUCUGCAGAAACUUUUCAAACCCAAUUAAGAAAUAUGGAAAAUCCUUCCGAAUUAGUCGAUUUAGAGACUAAGUUGUUUAAGUUUCAGAAAUAUAAAAUGUACCUUCCUAGUUUUCCUCGAUUUAAGCCACAGUAUUGUGUGAUAAGGCCAAGCAGAUGUGUUCCUCCUAGUUCUGUGAAGUAUUCACCUUGAGAUCUUAUUUUGGAAAUAGUUUAAUGGGUACUAUACACAUACUAUACUUGAAAGGAGGAGAAAGUACACAAAAUUGUGUCUUUCUUUUGCCUACUUUCUGCUCCUUUCAAUAGAAAGUUCCUGAUGUUGAAAGUUCCUGAUGUUAUAAAGCGUUUCCGUUAUUAAUUAAAAGUGUUUCUAGGGAAGACACUUAUAUGACCAAAUGCUCUCCUUUUAUGUCUUUACUUGUAUUGUUCAAAGGGUUUUUAAUGAAUAGUGAAAUUCCUAUUAUUAUAAAGGUAUUAAAUGACAUAAAGGAUUACUGUGUACUCAGCGAAAUGAUUAUAUUCUUGGCCUUCCAAUGUAAUUGUAUCAAUAUAUUGUGUGAUGUCAUUGGUGCCAUCCAGGCUCUCUUCAGCUUAACUUGUGACUGAACUCCUAGAUCUUUGGAAAACAUUGUCUACGUUCAUUCAGAUGUACAGCUGAAACUCCAAAAAAAGAAAAAUCCUGCCACUUAAAAAUGGCUUAGCUUUGGGAAUGCAAGUAUAUUGAAAUAUGUAUGCAUAGAUUUCAACCAAUUGCUCACAGCUGCUGUGCUGGAAGAAUCUAAAGGCAGACUAAACAAUGGGCUUAAACCAUAAAGAAGCAUUGUUUUUCUACAGGUAAAACUAUUUUAUCUCUAGUCCUUGGUCCAAAAGGGGGUUCCUUUUGCAGAACAAGAUGGACUCAGAUGAGUGAAAUAAUACUAAGAUGGACUGAGAAGAAGCAGAACUGAAGACUGACAGAAGCUUGGGUUAGCUUUCACUGGGUUAUAUCCAUGCUACACAUUUACAACAGUUUGAUGCCACUUUAGCUGCCUUGGCUCCAUCCAACAAAAUUCUCAGAUUUGUAGUUCAGUGACAUAGUUAGAAUUCUCUGCUGUAGAGCUCUUCAGAUAUAGUUCAGGGAACUGAGUUCAAACCCAUUGUCAAAGGCUUCCAAAUACCAAACCAAAAAACAUUAUAGGAUUCCAUAGGCGUAAACCAUAGUAAUAGAAAUUGUGCGAGAGCACAGUAAGUGUCCAGUGUAGACACAUCUCUGAAGUGAGCACUUAUGGCCAUCUGAAAUUUGUUUGGCUCACAUUUCUAUCUGAGAUAGAUACCAUAGCCAAUGGAAAGAUGUAACAGCUAUCUGAAUGACUAGCUACCCAUCCUUUGCUCUAGGACUUUCUGUGUGCCAGAAAAAAUGGAUUGCAAGAUGUAGUACAGAAAAGUGAAACCACAGAAAGAUAUCUCUUGCUUUCUCCACCUUUAGGCUGUGCUAGGGAAAUUUUUUGGAUUUCUACAGACAGCAUUUGUUUAUCAGUCUUAUUUAAAAUGUUUUUUUACUCUUUUUUUGUAAGCUUGCUUUACAUGGGAAAACCAAAUGCCAAAAAAACUUUCCAACAUUGUUCCUUUUUAGCCAUGUUUUAAAAUAUUUUGGGGAUUAACAGGUUAAUUGAAUUAUUAAGCUUGACUUAUCUGCUAUUCAGCCAUUUAUUACUGAAUAGAUUUCAUGCAGGCCUAUUGCCUAUGGAAUAUAGCAAUUCCAAUAAGGCCAGACUUGAGUGUGCAGAUAUUUGCCAGAUAACUUUAAUCUUUCUUUUUCAAGAGUCACUAAACUACACUUGCAAAGAACCUUAGGCUUAGUUUUUUUUCUUUCUUUAAAUAAAUUAUUAGAAGGGUUUGGGGUGAAUCUUUUUUGAUCCUGGGUGUUGACUUUGAAAUCAAGCCCAUAUACUUGGAGUCUUUUCAAAUAAAUCUGUGUGCCAGUGGCACGUUUUUCCUUCAUCAGUGGCCCAACACAGCAUUAUCAGUAUUAGAGCGGCAGAGAGACAGGAAGAAAAAUGGGCUAAGGUUUUCUUUCCUCCAGCCAUUCACAUUUGUUACAGUUCAAAUGUAGGUCGCCAUGUGGAUUUCAUCUCAUCUGCCUGUUAAUUUCUUCCUUCAGUAUUAGGAUUAAUUCCUAUGAAGGGAGAAGUUAAUUAUUGGCAUUUGCAAAAUAAAUGAAAGUUGUGUCAGGUGUGAGGUGCAGGGUUUGUUUUUUUAGUGGUGCAUGUAGGAUUUUUCAUUCAUAAUGGAGUCCAAUGAAAGCUCAACUUUCAUGCUUAAGUGCAUUAUAAAAGCUGAGAGCCAAAAAAUGAACUUUUUUUCACUGUUCAAUACAUACGUAUGCGAUUCUUGGAAUGCUAAAACGUAUGAAAUUCACUCUUAUACACCAUAGAUGAAAGCAUUUUCAUGGAUGUGAAGGAGUUGUCCUUUCUGUGACUUUGUUUUCAAAAUGAAGAAACAUUUAUGUGUCUAAUAUCUUUCUUUCAUUUACUACUUCAGCAUAAUAAUGCUAGAAGUAACCAGGAGGCGGGUAUCUUUUUUUCCAAAGAGUGGAUUAUGAAGCCAAAGAAGCACCUGUGUUUUUUGUCUCAUGCUGUGCCGAAUUUUUGACCUUGUAAAAGCUUUGUAUUUUUAAUCCUAGUAGAGACUAUCAAUUUAAUACAUGUUUUUAAUUUGAACAAGACAUUUUGCAAGUUGGGUUGAGGAUCUAUAAGACAGAUACUGUCCUACAGCAGCUUAAUAUUUCUUAAGAGCUAUGGAGCAAAAUUAUAGUAGUUGUGUUAAUGAGCUUAUGAGAUUUUUCCUGAUUCACCUUUCCAAUCAGCACUACAUUUUAAUAAAAAAAAAACGUUUCUCUCUGGAAUGACUCCGUUGUGACAGAAGUGGGGUAAUUAUUUGCCAAAGAAAUGAUUGGAAAUAUGUCUUCUUUCUCAUCACUGAUUUCAUUUCUUUUUAAGAAACCCCUGUGCUGUAUAAAACCUGGCUUUUGGGAUAUGUUUUAUUCCCUUUGAGGUAAAUGAUGUAGUUUGCUAGGGCUACAAAAUAUCUCAGGGCUUUUUGACAAAACCUUGGCAGUGCAUUAUAAUGUAGUGCUUCAUGAGGUAAGAUUCACUUGCAAAUGCUUUCACCAGAGGGAUAAAGUUUAAACCUCCUUUCCCGACAUCUCUUCACCCAUCAGUACAAUCAUACUACUAAAAUCUGUUCCUAUCAUUUCACUAUUUGCUUAAUCAUAGUCAUUUGAAUAAAAAGAUUUAGGACUACAGCUGCAAGAUACUCAAAUUCUGGCACAGAUCCACGGAGGGAGAUCUGUAGUUGUGAGCAGGAACGUCCAAUAUCUGUUUUCACAGAGUUGUCACAUAGGCAUUUUGCACAGAUGGAGCACUCAUGUCCUUGGCUUAUGUUCAGACACAGGGAAAUAAACCUGAAGUGGGCACUCAAGGCGCCUGCCUUUUGACCUGACAAUCUUUCUGUUUAGCAUGAAGUGCCCAUAUUUUACAAUAUGGGUUUUUCUCUCACUUAGCUUUCCCUCUUCCAGACCUGUGAUCUAAAAUGAAACCUACGAAACUGUUUUCUGUCCCUAACAUCCCAAAUUCUUUAAGGCUUCACAUGUCAGAACUGGUGGUUCAGUCUGUAGUGGUAUGCAUAUUAAACUAACAAGAGGCAAGAUAAAAGAUCGACUUGCCAGAGGAAUCUGUGUUGAUUUAUUGAAAAAUGCAAAUUAUUUUCUUGUUUUCAUCUCCCGUAAAGCAUGCAUUAUAAGAAAUGAAUGGUUGUACAUUUAUUAUAGGAAACACUUCACUUCUAAUAUUCAAACACUCUGUAUUACCCCCCUCUGCAAUCAAGAUGUUGAUUUUUUUAAUGCUUCGAAGCGCUUAUUUCAUUUUCAGGCCUAAAAGCGGUGAAAGGAUGCAGAGGUAUUAAAAUCAGCUGUCCUCAUCCACAGAUUCAACCACCCACAAGAUUAAAAUAUUUCUAAAUAGAAUUCCCAAAAGCAAACCUUAAUUUUGCAAUUUUAUGUAAGGGACAUCAUUUUACUAUGCCAAAAUGGACUUGAGCAUCCAUGGAUUUUGAUAUCUGUGUGGGGUCCUGGAACCAUACUCUAGCAGAUACCAAGGAUUUUAACUAUCACUUGAACUGCAUGGCAAAAGCAUACUCCUACCGAUAAGUCAGUUAGUUUUAAGUACAGGAGGUUGAAGCCCAAAAGGUACAGAAUACUUGGAGAUCCACAGUGGACUGUCUUUGGCAUUUUUUCACAUUUAAAAAACACUUGGGUGGAGGAAAGAUUGCAUCAAGACAUACACGGGAGAGUUGCUCCU
ensembl:lncRNA